rnacentral:lncRNA from 1 species
AUGGGGCCCUGCCUUUAUGUGGCCCUGCGGGUCCUGCCAGCACCAAUAGCACCGUCUGUCCUUCCAGGUCACUACCUGUACCUGGAUGAGGAUGGACCACUGGAGGUGCUGGGGGGGCCGGGCCGCUGCCAGGACACCUAUCAGGACUGGAUCUCCCUCUACUGCUGGGCCCCCUUCCACGCUGCCCUCAUGGCCACCCCCGAGGGCAGCCGCUGCUGCUGGGACCAGAUCAGCAGCACCUACAGCGAGCUCUCCAGCUGCACCCAGCUGCUAGCCCAGCUGCUCUCCUGCCCCUGGCCCAGCGCCGUCCUCGACGCCUUCUUCCUGCAGGUCCACGCUGAAUACUUCACCAACUGCACCAGGGCCGGGCCCUCCAGGCUGGGAGGGCUGCCCCCCACGAUGGCUGUGGCUGUGGCCGUGGGGCUCAGCUGCCUCGUGCCCCUUGCAGCCGCCCUGACGCUCACCAGAGCCCGGAAAGGGGCUCAAACCCCAGCAGGCAGCUGCCCAGCCCCUGCCUGCCUCUGUGCCUGCGAGGGGCUGGCAACAGCCCCCUUCCCUCCCAGCCCUGGGAACUAAUGAGCAGGACGAGUGGGCCAAGUGUGAGGGGGACAGGGAAGAGUGGGGACAGGGCAGAGCAGGUAGGGGAGUCUGGGCAUCCCCGGGGAUGGAGCGGGUCCCGUGGCACCGGGGGAGGCUGGGCCCGGGGCUCCUGAUGCCUGCAUCUGCCCCAGGGCAGGGAACUUUGGGAGAAGGGUCCCAGGCGCUGCUGGGGUCCUGACCCUGCAUGGGCCAAGCCCCUUCCUUGGCACCCCCGGGUGGGGGCUGGCAGGGAGCACCGGCGAUGCCAGGCUGGGGGGGGUGGGAGCCCCAGGUCUUGGCUGGCAGCCAGCGUCUCAUCCCUGCCCGUCCUGUCCCUGCCCGUUCCCUCUGGACGCCCCAGGAGGGGGGCGGCCAUCGCAGGCCCAGGGCUGUGCUGAGAUCAUUGGGUGUCUCCCUGGCAGAGGCUGCUGCCGCCCGGCUGGAGGCUCCAGUGGCUCCUACAAAGAGCAGGACCAGGGGCUCCAACCCUUCUGC